GAAGGUUUAAAUUAGCUGAAAAUCUUUCUUUAUCUGCAUUUUAAAAGUUGAAAUCCUUGGUUAAGUCUACUUUCAAAGAUUCAGCUGAUGUCCAGAAGAUUUGGAAAAGUAGAUGGUGAAUGAGACAGGGAGAACAAUCUAGGAAGAGGGAAAGUACAAGAAGAAAAUCAAUCUGCCAAAUUAGACAGAGCAAAGGAACGGGAAGAAAAACAGGAAAUAACCUAAUAAAAUAUAGUAGAAAAUAAAUAACUUCCAGUGGCCCAACAAUUUCCUCUCACAGAAAGCACUGGCAGUAUGAAGUAAAUUACAGGCGCGUUUCUGUCUGGCUAUGGAAAUGAAGUUGUUUAGGGAUGACGUAUGGCAUUUCCCCUCCCCCCCGUCACCCCCAGCACAGUGCAGAAUGAGAAGGUCUCACAGGUGCAGAUGAGCACACAGCAACAACCCAAACGAGGCCAGGUGAAAUGAGAACAGGAUGGCUAACGAAGGUGAACUUCUGAGGUGCAGUCAUGGAAUUUUGUAACAGUUUUGAUCAGUUGUGCUUCAGGGCUGCCAUCACUGGGAAUUCAGGAGACCUGAAGCAAUGGGGGUAACGCUGCUAUGCCAUGUCUAGAGAUCUUCUGGGCAGCCAGACACAGCGGAUUUUUGGGACUGGAGCAGAGAAGGGGAUGCAGCAGCUAGUUUUAUAAUCAGCAGUGCUUAUCCUGGUAGGUAGCAAAGAGACCGAAGAGACUCUCGUUCCUCCUCCCCCAGUGCUAUCACUUAUUUAGGAAUGAUGCCACAGUGCCAGCUGGUCAGUGCCACCAAGGUAUUGCUGUAACUCCCCCAGCUGUUAUCUAUGCAGAUACCUCGCUGAGUAGCAAAUCCUUCUCCUCUUGCAGGAGAUUUAGCAAAUAAGUAAUGAAAGUACUUUCAAGCCGAACUGUCGUUCUGCAGUCUUUACAGUUUUUGUGCUCUACAGAGUGUAAUUUUGAAGAGGCUCAGGGCUUGCUUCAGCUUAUUAAACUAGAGUAAAUAUUGUCACAUUAGUUAUUUGCCAAAACCAACAGGAAUAUAAUUAACUGGAGUGACUCCUUACUAAGCAACCGCAUGCAUGAUUUACUCUUAGGCUGUGUUUAUACUGAUCUUCUGUGGAAGCAGAAAGCAUAUUUAGUCCAGCUCAGUCCCAUGAAACUGAAACGUGUAUUUUACGUGAACCAGUCGUUCAAACGAAGCAUUCCACAGGUGAAUGGAGAGACAGCAUUAACCGUGUCAUUUAUUUGCUUAAAUUCCACCCUGUGUAAAGGUGCUGUGGGAUACAGAAGAAAAUGAGUCGCGAUUAAUGUGACUCCAAACUGCUGAGCGACUGCGACUAUAGAAUCAGAAUCCUUAAAAAUGCACAGGCAUUUGCAGCUUCAAAUUUAUCAUUCAGUGGAAUAAUACGAGUGCCCUUCACAAAAAGAGUUGCUUUUCUGUUUACAUCGCUUCUGGUUUUAAAAUGACAAAAUGAACCAGGGCGUACCAUGCUACGACUUCACCCGUUGACACAAAUGAAAAGGAUUGAACAGACAUAAUACAUCUGGUUUACGACUUUUAAUUGCCUUUGUGACCCAGUUCAUACCAAAUCCUCUCGAAGCAGAGUCUCUUUCUUUGUAUGCAUAGUGGGGCUACUUCUCUAUCUGAGAUAUGUUGCUUAAAAAAACAGCACCACGUUAAAAAGUAGCAAUAUUUCUUGCUCACAUAAAUCUUUCGUACUUGCAGGUGACCUGAGAAAGUGAGAAGUGGAGAGUUCAGUUGUCUGGUAAAUGAGUAUGUUAAACUUUCCAAAUUAAAGCUGCUCCUAAAGCACCAGAUUCUUUUAGUAAUUAAUCACCAUACUGUUGUUUAUUAAGAAGACACGCCUGGAAUUUUUUAGUAACUCAGGUAACCUUUCAUGGCUCGAUGGAUACAGAAGAUAACGGUGUCUGCCGUGAUUUAAUGAGGGUCUCUGAUGUAAUAUGGUAAUCUGUGACUUCUGAGUGUCUGUUCUGGGAGUAGGGAAGGGAUACUGGGGGAAGGCGUGAGCGCAGAACCACGCUGCUAUAAAAACAGCCUAUUGCUAAUCAGUUAUCAGAAGUACUUCUUGUGUCAUGGAGCAGGCCAAGACAGACUGCUGGGAUACUAAGCCUGGGCUUCGCAGGACGCCUGGAAAUCCUGUGGCAACGUGGAGUAGUUUCAACAAAGGCAGGAAGAGAUCUCUUUAAAACUGAUUCUCAGCUCCCAGUUUCCUGCUUUGUAAUGCCUGCAUUCAGUUGCCCCAUACCAGGACUUACUCUGAGAUCUCCUAUGCACGUGAGAAAUGUUUACUCACACACGUAAGGUGUGAUGUCCCAGGAGGUCCCACUGAGCGUGCAUCCGUGCCUGAGCCCACCUUGGGCCAGUGGGCGGUAAUAUGCAACUGGGGGUUCUGCAGGUAGUGAAAAUGACAGCCGGUCAUCACCACGUUUGUACAAGUGAUUCCUGGUCACAGACAGAAGGUGGAUGUUUUCAGCAGUACUGCCUGACUGGGAAGGUGGUUCCAGACAGCAGGAUGCCUGCAGUAACACAGGAAGUGCUACAGCUGUGUUAAUCUGGAAGAACAUCAAAGUAACUUGUGACAGUGAACUUGGGUUGGAGAUCUCUCUCCAAGUUUCUUGAAAGCAGCUGCAAACAUUGGACAGGCAGCAGGAUGAAAUCGCCAGGGCUGUGUUUUGGAGCGUGCAUACGGAGGGGCUCUGGAUGAAGCAGGCUUUUGUUGCUCAGUAGAUGAUUGCUGACCACUGCUGGAUCGUGCUGCUAAUCCAUCAUCAUAACGCCGUUCCAAUGAAACAAAACAGAGCGUGUUCCCACAGAACUGGUUAUAAUGCUUGGGGAAAUACUUCUA